rnacentral:rRNA from 1 species
UACGGGGGGAGCAAGCGUUGUUCGGAUUUACUGGGCGUAAAGGGCGCGUAGGCGGCCAGCACAAGUCAGUUGUGAAAUCUCCGGGCUUAACUCGGAAAGGUCAACUGAUACUGUGCGGCUAGAGUGCAGAAGGGGCAACUGGAAUUCCCGGUGUAGUGGUGAAAUGCGCAGAUAUCGGGAAGAACGACCCGUGGCGAAGGCGGUUCUCUGGGACGGUACUGGACGCUGAGACGCGAAAGCGUGGGGAGCGAACAGG